GUGAACGCUGGCGGUAGGCCUAACACAUGCAUGUCGAACGGCAGCACAGUAAGAGCUUGCUCUUACGGGUGGCGAGUGGCGGACGGGUGAGGAAUACAUCGGAAUCUACUUUUUCGUGGGGGAUAACGUAGGGAAACUUACGCUAAUACCGCAUACGACCUACGGGUGAAAGCAGGGGAUCUUCGGACCUUGCGCGAUUGAAUGAGCCGAUGUCGGAUUAGCUAGUUGGCGGGGUAAAGGCCCACCAAGGCGACGAUCCGUAGCUGGUCUGAGAGGAUGAUCAGCCACACUGGAACUGAGACACGGUCCAGACUCCUACGGGAGGCAGCAGUGGGGAAUAUUGGACAAUGGGCGCAAGCCUGAUCCAGCCAUACCGCGUGGGUGAAGAAGGCCUUCGGGUUGUAAAGCCCUUUUGUUGGGAAAGAAAAGCAGCAGGUUAAUACCCCGCUGUUCUGACGGUACCCAAAGAAUAAGCACCGGCUAACUUCGUG
rnacentral:rRNA from 1 species